rnacentral:rRNA from 1 species
UUCGGGUUCCGGGGGGAGUAUGGUCGCAAGGCCGAAACUUAAAGGAAUUGACGGAAGGGCACCACCAGGAGUGGAAUCUGCGGCUUAAUUUGACCCAACGCGGGAAAACUCACCAGGUCAGGACACGGUAAGGAUUGACGGACUGAAGGCUCUUUCUCGAUUCCGUGGAAAGUGGUGCAUGGCCGUUUUUGGUUGGUGGAUCGAUCCGUCUGGUUAAUUCCGUUAACGAACGAGACCUCGGCACUCCGAAUAGCGCGGCGGACGUCGCGGCCUCCGGGCCGUCUUCCGCACGAGCUUCUUAGAGGGACCGUCCCCCGCCGGGGAAGGAGGUGCGAGGCAACGACAGGUCUGUGAUGCCCUUAGAUGUUCUGGGCCGCACGCGCAUUACACUGACGCGUCCAACGGGUGACUCCCGACCCGAAGGGGCCGGGGAAUCCGCAAGGCGCGUCGUGAUGGGGAUUGAACGUUGCAAUUGUUGUUCACGAACGAGGAAUUCCUAGUAGGCGCGGGUCAUCAACCCGCGCCGAUUACGUCCCUG